rnacentral:siRNA from 1 species
AGUUUGAGCUCAGUGGUCAACUAU